GACGAACGCUGGCGGCGUGCUUAACACAUGCAAGUCGAGCGGUAAGGCCCUUUCGGGGGUACGACGAGCGGCGAACGGGUGAGUAACACGUGGGUGACCUGCCCUCAGCUCUGGGAUAAGCCUGGGAAACCGGGUCUAAUACUGGAUAUGACUCCGAUGACGCAUGUUGGUGGGGGUGGAAAGCCUUGUGCGGCUGAGGAUCGGGGCCCCGCGGCCUAUCAGCUUGUUGGUGGGGGUGANGGCCUACCAAGGCGACGACGGGUAGCCGGCCUGAGAGGGCGACCGGCCACACUGGGACUGAGACACGGCCCAGACUCCGUACGGGAGGCAGCAGUGGGGAAUCUUGCGCAUGGGCGAAAGCCUGACGCAGCGACGCCGCGUGAGGGAUGACGGCCU
rnacentral:rRNA from 1 species